UACGGAGGGUGCGAGCGUUGUCCGGAAUCACUGGGCGUAAAGGCGCGUAGGCGGCGUCGGAUAGUCGGCGGUGAAAGCCCGGAGCUCAACUCCGGGUCGGCCGUCGAUACGUUCCGGGCUUGGAGCGCUGUAGGAAGGCAGGAUGGAAUUCCGGGUGUAGCGGAGUGGAAUGCGUAGGAGAUCCGGAAGAACACCGGUGGCGAAGGCGGUCGUGCUGGGC
rnacentral:rRNA from 1 species